rnacentral:rRNA from 1 species
AACGAACGCUGGCGGCAGGCCUAACACAUGCAAGUCGAACGCUCUAGCAAUAUUGAGUGGCAGACGGGUGAGUAACACGUGGGAAUCUUCCUAUCGGUACGGAAUCGCUCGGGGAAACUUGGGGUAAUAGCGCAUACGCCCUUCGGGGAAUAGGUGUAUCGCCGAGAGAUGAGCCAGCGGCUGUUUAGCUAGUUGGUAGGGUAAUGGCUCAUCUAGGAGACGAUAAGCAGCUGGUCAUAGAGGAUGACCAGCUACCCUGGGACUGAGACACGGCCCAGACUCUGACGGGAGGCAGCAGAGGGGAAUAUGGGACAAUGGGCGAAAGCCUGAUCCAGCCAGGCCGCGUGAGUGACGAAGGUCUUCGGAUAGUAAAGCUCUUUUGGCGGGGACGAGAAUGACGGUACCCGAAGAAUAAGCCCCGGCUAACUUCGUGCCAGCCGCCGCCGUAA